rnacentral:rRNA from 1 species
GAUGAACGCUAGCGGCAGGCUUAAUACAUGCAAGUCAAGGGGGUAGCAAUACUACCGGCGCACGGGUGAGUAACACGUACAUAACAUACCAUAUACUGGGGUAUAGCUUUGGGAAACUGAAGGUAAUCCCCCAUAACAUUGCGAGAGGGCAUCUGAUUGCAAUUAAAGUUUCGACGGUAUAUGAUUGAUGUGCGUUUGAUUAGCUUGUUGGUAGGGUAACGGCCUACCAAGGCGACGAUCAAUAGCUGGCGUGAGAGCGCGACCAGCCACACUGGAACUGAGACACGGUCCAGACUCCUACGGGAGGCAGCAGUAGGGAAUAUUGGACAAUGGGCGAAAGACCUCGAUCCAGCCAUGCCGCGUGAUAGAUGAAGGCCUCUGGUUGUAAUAUCUUUA